AGGGAAUCUUCCACAAUGGACGCAAGUCUGAUGGAGCAACGCCGCGUGAGUGAAGAAGGUUUUCGGAUCGUAAAGCUCUGUUGUUGGUGAAGAAGGAUAGAGGCAGUAACUGGUCUUUAUUUGACGGUAAUCAACCAGAAAGUCACGGCUAACUACGUGCCAGCAGCCGCGGUAAUACGUAGGUGGCAAGCGUUGUCCGGAUUUAUUGGGCGUAAAGCGAGCGCAGGCGGAAUGAUAAGUCUGAUGUGAAAGCCCACGGCUCAACCGUGGAACUGCAUCGGAAACUGUCAUUCUUGAGUGCAGAAGAGGAGAGUGGAACUCCAUGUGUAGCGGUGGAAUGCGUAGGUAUAUGGAAGAACACCAGUGGCGAAGGCGGCUCUCUGGUCUGCAACUGACGCUGAGGCUCGAAAGCAUGGGUAGCGAACAGGAUUAGAUACCCUGGUAGUCCAUGCCGUAAACGAUGAGCGCUAGGUGUUGGGGACUUUCCGGUCCUCAGUGCCGCAGCAAACGCAUUAAGCGCUCCGCCUGGGGAGUACGACCGCAAGGUUGAAAC
rnacentral:rRNA from 1 species